rnacentral:rRNA from 1 species
UGGGGAAUCUUGCGCAAUGGACGAAAGUCUGACGCAGCCACGCCGCGUGAGUGAAGAAGGCCUUCGGGUUGUAAAGCUCUGUCACCCGGGACGAAAAUUUAUUAGGUUAACAGCCUAGUGAACUGACGGUACCGGGAAAGGAAGCACCGGCUAACUCCGUGCCAGCAGCCGCGGUAAUACGGAGGGUGCAAGCGUUGCUCGGAAUUAUUGGGCGUAAAGGGUAGGUAGGUGGUCUCAUUUGUCUGGGGUGAAAGCCUUGAGCUUAACUCAAGAAGUGCCCCAGAAACGGUGAGACUGGAGUCCUGGAGAGGGUCGUGGAAUUCCCGGUGUAGCGGUGAAAUGCGUAGAGAUCGGGAGGAACACCAGAGGCGAAAGCGGCGACCUGGACAGGCACUGACACUCAACUACGAAAGCGUGGGGAGCAAACAG